CAAAAAAAAAUUCAGAAGAUACCUUGAUCCAUACUCUACAUGUGCACGAAAACCGAUUUUGCAAAUAUUGCUUCGUUAUUUAAUAAAAAAUCAAAAACCAAAAAGUGAGGAAAUGCUUCCAGUUUCGCCUUAAUGUACAUCAUCGAAUUCGCCCGCGCUGAGUAUGUCUUAGCUUGCUUCAUUUUUGGUGAACAGGAACCCGCAGCAGGGUUCCCGGUACUGAUAUUCUAAGAAAUUUGACAUUUAUGAUACCAAACUAACGUGUUUUACACAUGAUAUCGAAAAGUAUGUCUAUGACUGGAUUGAUACGUUAAAUGCUUGGAUAACGUAGUGAAAAUUCAUGUUUGAAACAUGUGGCUCGAACGUGUAGAAUAUUUUCAGUGUAGUUGCCGGUAUCGUAAAGUUCAAUGUGUAUAAUCUCUACCAAAUCUUGGAAAAUGAUUAUUGGAACUUCCAAUAAUCAUUUGCCAAGAUUUGGUAGAGAUAAUUAUGAUAAAUGUAAUAAAAACCCAGAGUGGGCCAAAAUACAUGCCCCGGGCCAAAUUACCUCCACUACCCUAACUUCUGGAACAGGUUCGUUGACAUUUUCCGGUGCUAAACAGGGUGUACAUGAUGAGUGUGAUAAUUGUUGGAAAACGACGAUAUAAACAGGUAAAAUUACGUUCGGAAAUGCCAAAAAUUACGUCACAAGAUAUUACAAAUUUAUCUGCUGUGUAUAUUUUGUAUGGAAAAUAUGUCAAGAUUUAAAAAAUGAUUACUUGAAUAUCUAUAAAUAUAUAUGAUGCCUCAAUAUUAAAUACGGCGAUUGUUUUCUAGAAUUUAUUCUCUGAAACCAAGUAAAAUGGUCCUCCUUGGAUAGUUGGGGAAGAUAUUCGGAAUUAUAAAAAUCCACAAUUGAAAUUUCGAUCGUGCUCAUAUAAAAUAUAUCCAUAUUGAGUGGACUUAAUUUAUCACUUGUGUUUUGUUGAAAGGAUACUUUAUGGUACGAGAAAGGCAUCAUCACCGCUAGGUGGAUUAAUUAGGGUUUUUUGUAAACGAUUCAGCAUAUACCUGUUACUUAGCAAAAAGAUAAUUAUUUAACAGGAAUUCAACAGAUUUACCUAAUAUCUCUCCAAAAUCUCCUAGCAUUUGCUCACUUUUUGGUUUUUGAUUUUUUAUUAAAUAACGAAGCAAUAUUUUCAAAAUCGGUUUUCGUACACAUGUAGAGGAUUGAUCAAGGUAUCUUCUGAUUUUUUUCGUAGUAGAAAAUGUUUUUCGUUUUUGCAGAAACCAUUUUUGAACGAAAUUUCACAAAAAAAUGGUUUAAAAAAAUGGAAAACUUUUUCAACGAGAAAAAAUUCAGAAGAUACAUUGAUCCAUACUCUACAUAAAUGGUGGGACAAAUAGUGAAAUAAAUAUUUGUAACGGCCUAUAAUGUUAAAAUUCUGUUCUCAAACGCAUGAAUAUUCACAUAUAUUUGUGUCUGCUUAGUCAUUCUAACUAUUGCAACAUCAUCAUCAUCAAAGACUUCAAUCCCCUAGCCGUGUAAACCUCUCUGUCUCUUAUCUAGUCGGCAUUUAUAAAAUAAAAUAAUAAAACUUUGCUUUUUUACGACCGCCAAGCAAUAUAGGUACCUACAGUAAUUAAAAAUGAUUCUGUGAAAAAUUUGACGUGCAUUAAAUGGCAGGCACGCAUAGGCAAGCUGUUGCUGUCGUCGUCGUCGUCGUCGUCAUCGCCGUUAAUCUCUUUGUUUUCUAGAGCAAUCCGUGCGCUGCUGUGCUGAUGGUGGGAAGAUGAUGUUGGGUAGUUGGUCAUAGGGAAAGCGGGGGUGGCUCCGGCCGUUAGUGAGUGGAAUGUAAAGGUAAACUAUAUUUGGGGAAAUCUGUGCGUUGUUGGGUUGGGUCAUAACCGAACAGUCGGCUUUAAGCCGAAAGCUGUAGUCUGAAAUCGUAUCACGACUGGCUGAAGAGUCUUUUCUCUCGCUCUCGGUUAAUGCUACAGUAGUGCUCAAAAGUUGUUUGGCAUAAGAGAUUGUUUUUAUCGAGUAUUUUGCCGUUGUUUUCUUCUCCAAUUUCCAAUUAAAUGUUUCGUUAGAAAAUCAAUCAAUCAAUAUCUUUAUUGAAGAGACUUUCAGCCCUUUUUUUUUUACUUAAUCAUUUAUUUAAGGCUCAUGCGCCAACAGGCAUAACGGAGCCGAAUCCAGUUAAAACUAUUUACAAUUUCAUGUUUUUGUCUUAUAAACUAUGUUAGUUUUGGGAAACCGAAAAACUCGCGGUUUGGUCGAGGUUAGGGGGAACAAAAAUAUUUGAGGAAAGGAUAGGGUGAUGGGGCUUUUCAUUGACACGUGGCAGCUUGGUGUGGCGUAUUGCUGCUGGUCAAACGUAGAGUGGACAUACAACCUGUAACGAUACAUACAGACGAUUUUCGAAGGGACACGAGGUGGACAAGUGGAACAACAAGACGGGGAUAUCAGACGAAGACUUCAGCUUGCUUCAAGAAGUCGUACACAAGCUUCAUAUACUCAAGAUCAAGUUUACCCAACACAUCUCUAAUGUCUUCCUUUUCUGGUUUCCCUCGGGCCCUGAGGGAUGCACAUAAAUCGGAUCUGGCAAUACCGUAUUCGGGACAUUCCCACACAACAUGGUUGAUAUCUUGAUAGCCUGCACCACAGCUACAACGAUUGCUAUCUGUGAGCCCUAUUCGAUAGAAAUGCGAGCCCAGAGAGUAGUGAUUGGACAUAAGUCGACACAUUAUCUUGAUAAAAUCUCGACCCAUAUCCAACCCCUUGAACCACGCCGUCUUCGAUACCUGUGGGAGAAUUGAGUGUAACCACCUGCCCAACUCUCCUGCAUCCCAUUUUUGUUGCCAACUAACCAAGGCAUGCUGGCGAGCAAUCGAAAAAAAUUCAUUGAAAGCGAUAUGACGGUCAUAAAUAUCGCCUUCCAUAGCGCCCACUUUGGCGAGUGAGUCCGCUUUCUCAUUGCCCGGGAUCGAGCAAUGUGAAGGGACCCAAACCAAAGUGAUGUUAUAUGCUUGAUGCGAUAAAGCACUCAGAAUUGAUCGAAUUUCGCUCAGGAAAUACGGAGAGUGCUUCACCGGCCUCAUUGAGCGAAUAGCCUCAAUUGAGCUGAGACUAUCCGUAAAAAUGAAAUAUUGAUCAGAGGGAAGAGAGGCAAUUCGCUCUAAUGCGUAGUGUAUAGCCGCCAAUUCUGCGAUGUAUACUGAGCAAGGACUUUGAAGUUUAUGGGCGGCGUUAUGAAGCUCAUUAAAUACACCAAAUCCAGUGGAAUCAUUUGUUUUUGACCCGUCAGUGAAAAACCUUCUGUCGCAACUGACUUGGCCAAACUUGUUUGCAAACAUUUUUGGGAUGUGCUCCGAUCGGAGCGGAUCUGGAAUUCCACGGAUUUCUUGCAACAUGGACAGAUCAAAAACUAUAGUGGAAUUGGAGAAGUCUGGGAAGCAAUCACGGUUGAGAACAUUCGAAGAAGGAUGAACCUCCAGAGUCAUGUACGAGUAGUACACUGUCAUAAAC